ensembl:rRNA 5S_rRNA 5S ribosomal RNA
GUCUACGGCCAUACCACCCUGAACUCCCCGAUCUCGUCUUAUCUCGGAAGCUAAGCAGGGUUGGGCCUGGAUAGUACUUCGAUGGGAGACAGACUGGGAAUAGCGGGUGCUAUAGGCU